UACGUAGGGGGCAAGCGUUGUCCGGAUUUAUUGGGCGUAAAGAGCGUGUAGGCGGCCAGAUAGGUCUGGUGUGAAAACUUGAGGCUCAACCUCAAGAGGUCACUGGAAACCAUUUGGCUAGAGUCCGGAAGAGGAGAGUGGAAUUCCUGGUGUAGCGGUGAAAUGCGCAGAUAUCAGGAAGAACACCCGUGGCGAAGGCGGCUCUCUGGGACGGUACUGACGCUGAGACGCGAAAGCGUGGGGAGCGAACAGG
rnacentral:rRNA from 1 species